GAGAGCCGUAUGAUGGGAAACUAUCACGUACGGUUCGGGAAAGGGGGAGUAACUUGGUAAAAGAGUUACUUCUCCAGUUCAU
rfam:Ophiocordyceps sinensis CO18 unplaced genomic scaffold OCS_Scf_99, whole genome shotgun sequence.